rnacentral:rRNA from 1 species
CCCUUAGAUGAUCUGGGCCGCACGCGCGCUACACUGAUGCAUUCAACGAGUGUACCUUGGCCGAGAGGCCUGGGCAAUCUUUUGAACGUGCAUCGUGAUAGGGAUAGAUUAUUGCAAUUAUUAAUCUUGAACGAGGAAUUCCUAGUAAACGCAGAUCAUCAAUCUGCAUUGAUUACGUCCCUGCCCUUUGUACACACCGCCCGUCGCACCUACCGAUUGGAUGGUCCGGUGAAGCCUCGGGAUUGUGGCGGUUGCCUUUAUUGGUGUCCGCCGCGAGAACUUGUCUAAACCUUAUCAUCUAGAGGAAGGUGAAGUCGUAACA